CGAUAUUGCGAGCUGAGCUGCAGGCUUGAAAGGAUUAGGCAGUUUACCGCUUCUAUCUGAACCUCGCAUCUCCCACUGGAAAAUGUCCCUGGGGCAAAAGCUCUGGUAUGCCUCCUAACCCAAGACAUUUCCACAAAGUGAGAAAACAGCAGAGGCCCCGCUCAGGUUAAGAUGCACCAGGGUGCACACCUCCCAUUCUGAGCUCCAAACUUAGUAGUUGAAACGCAGGUCAGUGUGGUUAAAUUAGGAGGGAAUGAAGGGGACUUUUCAUACAGGAGAUGAUCAGCCAACAGCUGGAGAUUGGACCACAGUAAAUUACAGUUUGGCAAAUGUAGGAAUACGGAGAUUAAUGCCAUUUGGAGUUUAAAGAAAUGGGUGACACCUGAACUUCUUUAUUGGCACACUUAUAUUAGCAUUAUAUUAAAUACCAGAACGGUUUAUCUGGUUUGCGCAUAGUUGGAUAGUCCAGUCCACAAUGGCAGUGAAGACAAGCUGACGAGAACUUGAGACAACUGGUCACGUUGCAUCCACUGUAGGGAAGCAGAAGGACGUAUGCCUAAGAUCCAUCAAGGUGUCAAUCAGGAAAGAACUGAAGGGAGAACUUGUGCUGGGGCUCAGACCCAAAUGUGAGAGCACUUCUGAAAUAAUUCACCCUAUGUAGGAAGUCUUGUUUCAUCUCAGAGCAAAACGGUGCACCUGAAGAGUGAGAAGUGGCAGACCUGUAUGAGUCCUUUGCCAGAUGUCGGUAUUGGAAUGCAUCUUCCAAUAGUACCAGAAUCAGUGGUGGUGCGAUGGACCUCUUUUCCAUCUGUCCAUUUCUUGGAAUCUGGUUCAAAGAUUUUUUGGAAUCUGGAAGGAUACUGGACUAAAGAAGGCUCCAUAAAACUUCCUAGAAGGUUAACCAUUAAAAGGAGUGUAAGCAGAAACAUUUUAAUUAUCAGAGUGUGAUAUCUCAACAUGAUGUUUCCUUUCUGAGGACUUACCUGAAUCUAGUGGUUUACAGGCUUACCUGCAGCUUCCAGGGAGUCUGGUAUAGUCUCAGGUGUUUCAAUAGCUCUCCAGGACUUGGCACAGAUGUAAUAGACACAGGCAUCUAACUUUGUAACUCAAACUGCCAUGGGAGUGGACAAGAAAACAAGAUAUUGACCCUC